UACGUAGGGUGCGAGCGUUAAUCGGAAUUACUGGGCGUAAAGCGUGCGCAGGCGGUUUUGUAAGCCAGAUGUGAAAGCCCCGGGCUUAACCUGGGAAUGGCAUUUGGGACUGCAAGGCUGGAGUGUGGCAGAGGAGACUGGAAUUCCUGGUGUAGCAGUGAAAUGCGUAGAUAUCAGGAGGAACACCGAUGGCGAAGGCAGGUCUCUGGGCUGACACUGACGCUCAUGCACGAAAGCGUGGGGAGCAAAC
rnacentral:rRNA from 1 species